UACGUAGGGUGCGAGCCGUUGUCCGGAAUUAUUGGGCGUAAAGAGCUCGUAGGCGGUGUGUCACGUCGGCCGUGAAAACCUGCAGCUAACUGUGGCGUGCGGUCGAUACGGGCAUCACUGGAGUUCGGCAGGGGAGACUGGAAUUCCUGGUGUAGCGGUGAAAUGCGCAGAUAUCAGGAGGAACACCGGUGGCGAAGGCGGGUCUCUGGGCCGAUACUGACGCUGAGGAGCGAAAGCCGUGGGGAGCGAACGGG
rnacentral:rRNA from 1 species